GAUGAACGCUGGCGGUAUGCCUUACACAUGCAAGUCGUACGAGAGUUUUUAACUCAAGUGGCGGACGGGUGAGUAACACGUAAGAAUUUGCCUCUAGGAGGGGGAUAACAACUGGAAACGGUUGCUAAUACCCCAUAUGCUUUCGAGUGAAAUGGAUUUCCGCCUAGAGAGAAGCUUGCGGCUGAUUAGCUUGUUGGUGAGGUAAUGGCUCACCAAGGCGACGAUCAGUAUCUGGUUUGAGAGGACGAUCAGACACACUGGAACUGAGACACGGUCCAGACUCCUACGGGAGGCAGCAGUGGGAAUAUUGGACAAUGGGGGCAACCCUGAUCCAGCCAUGCCGCGUGAGUGAUGAAGGCCCUAGGGUUGUAAAGCGCUUUCAGCGACGAGGAUAA
rnacentral:rRNA from 1 species